rnacentral:rRNA from 1 species
UAGCCGUAAACGAUACUCGCUAGGUGUCGGCCACGGUGCGACCGUUGUCGGUGCCGUAGGGAAGCCGUGAAGCGAGCCACCUGGGAAGUACGGCCGCAAGGCUGAAACUUAAAGGAAUUGGCGGGGGAGCACAACAACGGGUGGAGCUUGCGGUUUAAUUGGAUUUCAACGCCGGAAAUCUUACCGGGACCGACAGCAACAUGAAGGCCAGGCUGAAGACUUUGCCGGAUUAGCCGAGAGGAGGUGCAUGGCGUAGUCGUGU